GCUUCGUUAGCUUAAUUGGUAGAGCGACCACCUCGAUAGCAGUAACCUGCUAUCAAGUGGCAGGUCGGAGUUCGAAUCUUCGGUGAAGCA
rnacentral:tRNA from 1 species